rnacentral:tRNA from 1 species
AUAGCUCAGUCGCUUGAGCAUGGCGCUGACAAUGCCAAGGUCGCGGGUUCGAUUCCCAUU